UACGAAGGGGGCUAGCGUUGUUCGGAAUUACUGGGCGUAAAGCGCACGUAGGCGGCUCUUUAAGUCGGGGGUGAAAUCCUGGAGCUCAACUCCAGAACUGCCUUCGAUACUGUAGAGCUUGAGUUCGGGAGAGGUGAGUGGAACUGCGAGUGUAGAGGUGAAAUUCGUAGAUAUCAGGAGGAACACCGGUGGCGAAGGCGCACACCUGGCCCGAUACUGACGCUGAGGCGCGAAAGCUAGGGGAGCAAACGGG
rnacentral:rRNA from 1 species